AUAUGAUAAUACAUUAUAUCAAUGUUUCUUUCCUCUACAACUCCCAAUUGUGUCUAUAUACAUAAUUAUGAACGAAGAUAAAAAAGAAUCUUGUGUGAGGAUAAACAAAACCGAAAACUUUCUUUUUAUUAUACCAUUCCAUAUAAAUGUCACCAAUUUUUUUACGUUUGUCGUUUAGAAACUUUCACCUAAAUACAACAUGAACAAGGAAGCUUGUUCAAUGAUGAAGAGUCACGUGCAAAACAAAACAUUAUUAUUUAUUGUUUCAUUGCAUAUAAAAGAAAAAGGCAAUUUUGUGGCAAUUAAAACCAAAUUUUUUGUAGAAAAA
rnacentral:lncRNA from 1 species